CCUACGGGGGGCAGCAGUGGGGAAUAUUGCACAAUGGGCGCAAGCCUGAUGCAGCCAUGCCGCGUGUGUGAAGAAGGCCUUCGGGUUGUAAAGCACUUUCAGCGGGGAGGAAGGCGUUAAGGUUAAUAACCUUGGCGAUUGACGUUACCCGCAGAAGAAGCACCGGCUAACUCCGUGCCAGCAGCCGCGGUAAUACGGAGGUUGCAAGCGUUAAUCGGAAUUACUGGGCGUAAAGCGCACGCAGGCGGUCUGUCAAGUCGGAUGUGAAAUCCCCGGGCUCAACCUGGGAACUGCAUUCGAAACUGGCAGGCUAGAGUCUUGUAGAGGGGGGUAGAAUUCCAGGUGUAGCGGUGAAAUGCGUAGAGAUCUGGAGGAAUACCGGUGGCGAAGGCGGCCCCCUGGACAAAGACUGACGCUCAGGUGCGAAAGCGUGGGGAGCAAACAGGAUUAGAUACCCGAGUAGUC
rnacentral:rRNA from 1 species